CCCCUGACAAUUUGUAAUCACUAUAAUUAACAAGAAAUCUGCGAGCUUCUAUUCAUUGACUCAAUAAUAGCUCACCGACCAAUAUAAGAUUUUGAAAACAAGAAUUUCUACUUUUGCCAGCGAUUUUUAAUUGUCUUUUCUUAAUUUUUUUUCUUCUAAUUCUGGAGGUCGUGUCAAACUUUUUAUAUACAUUUCUACCGCAAACCUGUAAAAUCAGAAUGAGGUCCUUGCGAAGAUAUGUUUAUUUUCGUGGGAUCCUAUGUAAUAUGGUAGUACGGGUUGGGGGCCUUCACCGUUUAUGCAUGCUUCGGCAAACUUUACAGGUUGAAAGUGAGAAACAUAUAUUGAUAUCAUACAGAGAUGUUAAACAAUGAUACAAAUUAAUAAACGAACCUUUCGCUUGAACCAGUAUUCCUAUCUUUCACCAAGAAAGAAUUUAAACAGGACUGUUUUCUUGGCCGUGCCAUAAUGAAA
rnacentral:lncRNA from 1 species